UACGUAGGGGGCAAGCGUUGUCCGGAUUUAUUGGGCGUAAAGAGCGUGUAGGCGGCCGUACAGGUCAGCUGUGAAAACUCGAGGCUCAACCUCGAGACGUCGGUUGAAACCGUACGGCUAGAGUCCGGGAGAGGGAUGCGGAAUUCCAGGUGUAGCGGUGAAAUGCGUAGAUAUCGGGAGGAACACCGGUGGCGAAGGCGGUCA
rnacentral:rRNA from 1 species